rnacentral:rRNA from 1 species
AGAGGGGUGCAAGCGUUAAUCGGAAUGACUGGGCGUAAAGGGCGUGUAGGUGGGACUGAUAAGUCGGGAGGGUGAAAUCCCCGGGGCUCAACCUGGGAACUGCCUCUGAAACUGUGAGUCUAGAGUAUAGGAGAGGGAAGUGGAAUUUCCGGUGUAGCGGUGAAAUGCGUAGAUAUCGGAAGGAACACCAGUGGCGAAGGCGGCUUCCUGGCCUAAUACUGACACUGAGGCGCGAAAGCGUGGGUAGCGAACAGGAUUAGAUACCCUGGUAGUCCACGCCGUAAACGAUGAGAACUAGAUGUUGGAUAGCAAAGACUAUUCAGUAUCGCAGCUAACGCACUAAGUUCUCCGCCUGGGGAGUACGGCCGCAAGGUUA